AGCUGUCGGAGAGAUUCCUAGUUCUAAACUCUAAGACGGCAAUAACCUAGUUGAUUCGCAGCUCGAAUAACAAAAACGGAAAUAUGCAUAAAUCGCUCUAAGUGCUAAGUUCUCUAUGAAAAAGUCCCUCUCAUGCCUCUCCCCUAGGACUCCUUAUAUACUGGCUCCUAGGUCGGUUUACGCUUUUCCUCUUCUGCCCUUAGGCCGCCAUAGCAUAAAAAUGGAGAUAUUCUA
rnacentral:lncRNA from 1 species